AGCUACUAUAUCCUAACAUGUUUUAUUAAAUUUUUCCAUUAGAUUGCAGGAAUGUUGCAACAUGUGGCAGUGAUAGAACAUUAAAAGUGAUAGAUGUAAAGACAGCUACUUUGCUCUUCAAUACAGAAUCUGACGAAGAGCUGAGAUGUCUUUGCUGGAUUGGGAGUGUUGCUGUUGCUGGUUCUUUAUGUGGAAAUCUAUUUGUGUGGGAUCUCUUCAAAGCAGAGUUGUUGGAUACGCUGCCUGCUCAUACAGGUGCUGUUACUUGCAUAUCAAUAUCAGAUGAUGGUGAAAUAUUAGUUACCGGUGGAGAAGACUUGCAUAUGAAAGCAUGGCGAAUCCAAGAUAGCUAAGCAUUUUGAUGCCAUUAAAUGAAUUGUGAACUCAUUUGUAUAUUUUGCUCCAAUAAAUCAAAUUUUAUGUGAUAAAGCAGUACUUUGGUAUUGUGCUAAUUUCCUCUCAUACUGUAUAUUGGAAGUGUAUUAUGAAAAGUUUGCAGUAUUAAUUUUGCUGUAAAUUUUAAUGUAUUAAUGAUAAUAGAAGAUAUGACUUCUGUUUACUAUUCCGAAGGCCAUAAAUGUUUAAUUCUGUAGACUUUGAUAACAUUUGAAAUAGGGUGACAUAUCUUAAAUUUAAUAGUAAUUGUCUUUGUAGCUGUGCUUUUGUUUGUUUUGGUCACAUAAUUGAGAUGAAAUUCAGAUGAAAGGAGGUAAAUUCAUUUGGAUCUGCACACACUCAGCUUAGUUGCAUAAAAUCUAGAAUAUUGUGCCUUUUGCAUUUGUGAUAAAGAUAUUAUACUGAAUACUUUUUGUGUUUUUAUUAAAAUCAUGAUGCAAAUGGUUUGCACCUAUGUCAUUAGGUCUGUGAGAGAUACUGAAAUACUUUUAUUGUUUGUAUAAGAUUUUUUAUUUAAAAUGCUCUUAUUUAAUAAAAUGUCUUUCAUAUCUAUUAUGUAAAUAAAGGAAUUUAAACUCCUUUUGUAUUGAUUACAUGCUGUAUAAUAUAUAAUAAAUAUUAAGUUGCAGAUAUUAAUAUAUGAAAAAAUAAUCAUAUCUGAUGGAUAAAACCCAGAAAAACUAGCAAACAAACUUAAGAACAAACCUGAUCUGUUAUAAUAAAAUGCAGAAUAUGUA